AUACUCAUGGACUCUGCCGCCUUCCAAUGCCUUGAAAGCUUGCUCCUUUGCGCUACUCUUGGCCUCUCUUCUCUUCAUCUUCAUCAUCAUCAUCAGGUCUCCAACAAGCCCAAGACCAAGACCACUUGCUCAGCCUCACAAGAUAUUGGUCAUAAACCGCAACAAGAAGCCGAAUUAGAUGUGUUUGAUCAGUUCAGUCCAAAUGAAAAACCCUUUGAUCUUCAUUCAGUAUAAAGAAGAACCCUCGUUUUGAGUAUAGUCCAAAAUAGAGCUUUGAAUGGUAAAGCAGAGGCCUUUGAAUUCACAAAUGUUUGGACUGUGUUUAGCUUUAACUUGGCUCCUGUAGAAAUGCUCAGCAGUGUGAGAGUGUAUCUAGUAAUGGCAUCACCACGCCUCUCAUCCGGGUUCGACAUCUAAGCCUCAAUCAAGCAAGGCUGCUUGGCAAUUUGAUAUAGGGUACAGAAGAUUGGACUAUGUUUCCGGCGAGCCCAGAGCUUGAUGGUGGCUUUUUCUGGAAGCUCUCUUCCUUCUAAACACAUUCCUUGCAGUUGGAAGGUGGAUUGAGGUUCCUCCUUGCAGGCGGCGACUGUGGACGAUUCCGGCCAAUUCCGACUGAAUUGGUUUGACUCCCAGGGUUUGAACCCGGAUCCUGAAACAAAUAGAGUAAAAGCUAUACUUGUCAAAGAAGAAGAGAGGGAGAUAUAAAUGAAGAGGGAGUGGAACCUCCCCUUGGGGUUCUGUUGGGUCGCAAGCGCAGGAAAACCAAGUUGGCCAAGAGACCAAGCCAGGCAACUGAGCCUGUUCAAAUGGCACCGGAAGGGGCGGAGCCGGUUCAAAUUGAGCCGGUGCCUGUUCCUGUUGAGCCGGAAAACUCGAGAAAUGGCCCUCCUAGGGUUAGUGUUUCCAUGUUCGAUGACUCAGUGGAGAAUCACUUCAGAGUCAUGCACAAGAUUUCUGAGCUCUGUGGUGAAGCCGAAGAUGAGCUGCUGCCAGAGACCGAGCUUCAACGCUUACAAUCGUCCACCACUUUCCUCUGGGAGUGGGCAGAUUUUAAGUAUGAACCCAGGGAUGUUCAAUUCGCUUGCGAAGCAGGAAGCCCAAAUGAGGAGGAUGUUAUCAGUGGGAUAAACUUGCGGCAGUUUUCCUCUGCAUCUGUUCCACAGAAUGAGGCGUGGGACACAUCCUCUCCAGAGUUGAGCCAAGACUUUGUGAUGUAUGUUGGAGGGCCUGUUUGGGCAUUGGAUUGGUGUCCUAGAGUUCAUGAAAGUCAUGACUGUCCUGCCAAAUGUGAGUUUAUUGCCGUAGCUGCCCAUCCCCCAGGAUCUUCUUAUCACAAGUUAGGUGAGCCGCUUACUGGCAGAGGUGCCAUUCAGAUUUGGUGUCUUCUAAAUGCUAGUGUAAAUGAUGAAGGUGUUCCUAUAGGAGAGAAACCAAAAGGAGGAACUAAAAGGAGUGCAGCUAUAACUGAACAAAUAAGGCCUUUAGGAAGACCCAUAAAGAAGCCAAUAGAAGAAUCUGUUGGCAAAAAGGCCACAGAAGAAAAGCUAACUGAGCCAAAAAGGCCUAGAGGAAGACCUAGAAAGAAGCCAAUAGAAGAAGCUAUUGACAAAGAGGCCAAGGAAAAAAAAUCAACUGAACCAAAGAAGCCUAGAAGACCCAGAAAGAAAUCAAUAGAAGAAUAUGUUGACAACUUGGAUGGGACAACCAAUUGUGUUGAGGUUCUUGCUAUUGAUUUUCCAAAUGAAUCAUCCAAGUUGCAUUCUACGGAUUGUGUUCCUGCAACUACUCAAGGAAAUGAUAUACAAGAUCAUGACAAAAAACUAUCAAGUUUCAGACAGACUCAACCAAAGAGCAGGGGAAGACCCAGAAAGAAGCCAAUAAAAGAGCCUGUUGACAAUUUUGAUGGGGGUAGCAACAAUAAUUUUGAGGUUCUUGCUAUUGAAUACCAAAAGGAAUCACUGGAGUUGCAUUCUACGGAUUCUCUUCUGGCAAAUGCUCCAGGGGAUACUGUACAAGCAGAAACAAAUUACAAGCAGACUCAAUCUUGUGAGGCUCUUGAUGAUCAAUAUCUAGUGGAAUCAGUGGAGUUGGAUGGCAUGGAUUGCGCUCCUGAAAGUACUCAAGUAGAUGAGGUACAAGAUGAUAGUGGUAAGAAAAGAAAAAGCCAUUAUGCGGAGGCUCUUGCUGUCCAAUGUCUUAACGGAACUUCAGAGUUGCAUGCUAUGGUUUGUGUUCCUGCACAUGAUGUACAAGAAGCUCAUGAUGGAAAACAAGAAAGUUCUGGAUGGAAACCAAAUAAUAAUGUUACCAAUAAUGGUUAUGCUGAAAAUGGCUCAACCAGUUGUUCAGUUCCAAAGGAUGUAGCAGUGCCAAGAAUCAUAUUCUGCCUAGCUCACCAUGGAAAGGUUGCUUGGGAUGUGAAAUGGCGUCCUCUUAAUGAUGAUUCCAGAUGCAAGCAUCGAUUGGGCUAUCUUGCUGUUUUGUUAGGGAAUGGAUCUCUGGAAGUGUGGGAGGUUCCUGUUCCUCGUGCAAUUGAAGUUAUUUAUUCUUCUUCAUCUGGAGAGGGAACUGAUCCUCGCUUUGUAAAACUAGCACCAGUAUUUAGAUGCUCAAUGUUGAAGUCUGGUGACAAAAAAAGCAUCCCUCUUACUGUGGAAUGGUCAGCUUCACCACCUCACGAUUACUUAAUGGCUGGAUGCCAUGAUGGAACUGUCGCUAUGUGGAAGUUUUCAGCUAGUAAUGCAUCUCAAGAUACAAGACCUUUACUUUGUUUCAGUGCAGAUACAAAUCCUAUUAGGGCACUUUCUUGGGCCCCAGUUGAAAGCAAUUCAGAUGGUGCAAAUGUUAUAGCUACUGCUGGCCAUGGAGGCCUAAAAUUUUGGGACCUACGUGAUCCAUUCCGUCCCUUGUGGGACAUCGAUCAUAUACCAAGGUUCAUAUAUAGUCUGGAUUGGCUUUCAGAUCCAAGGUGUGUUCUGCUCUCCUUUGAUGACGGAACAAUGAGGCUUCUCAGCUUGACGAAGGUUGCCUCUGAUGCCCCUGCGACAGGGAAACCCUUUGCUGGAACAAAACAGCAGGGCCUGCACAAUCUUGGUUGUUUGCCUUUUGCUAUCUGGAGUGUUCAAGUAUCAAGACUAACAGGUAUGGUUGCAUAUUGUGGUGCAGAUGGAACUGUUCUGCGCUUCCAGCUUACGUCCAAAGCUGUGGAGAAAGAUGCUUCAUGAAACCGGGCCCCACAUUUUCUGUGCGUGUCAGUGACUGAAGAGGACUCUGUCAUAACCAUCAAAACCCCAGUACCAAAUAAUCCUUUCCCAUUGAAAACAUCUCGUAAAGCUGAGCCAAACAAGGUGAAGAGAGAACAUGAUAAGAUGGCAACUACAUCAGGAGAUAAAGUUCUAGCUCUUUGUUAUGGUGAUGAUCCGAGUAUUGAAUUAGAAUCUGGGAAAGAAGCAGCAUCUCUUAGAAGCAAACCACGCUCAUCUGGGGAUAACCAAGCUUUAGUAUGCAUGGAUCAAGAGCAAUUUAAUACUCAGGAAGAAGAAAUUGGAGAAAAGAGUACAUCUCUUAAAAGCAUUAUAAAACAGAAAUCUAAGUCUGGUCAGAAAAUUACAGAGGAUGAUCAAGAACCGGUGUGCAGAGAUGAAGAGCUGAUUAAUACACAGAGGGAAAAAAAUGGGACGGAGUAUGAAGUUUUUCCUUCCAAUCUAGUAGCAAUGCAUAGAGUGAGAUGGAACAUGAACAAGGGUAGUGAGAGAUGGUUGUGCUAUGGAGGGGCAGCUGGAAUCGUACGUUGUCAAGAGAUUGAUUUGUCUGAGAUUGAUACGAAAUGGGCAAGGAAGAAAUGAGAAGCCAUGUUUACUGUGUUUCCUUCUUCUUAGCCUAUUUAUGUUGGAUCGAGUGGUUUUGCAGGAGCCAGGAGAGAUGACACGAUAACGAGACAGCUAAUUGUGGGUGUAUAUAGAUUAGAAUUGUCUGUUGAUUGAUUAACUUCCUGCAUAUGUAUGUAAAUGAGUGUAGUUUGAAAUUCUGUCUAGUUAGAAAGCUAUACUCGUUUUACGGAUUUUAGUGGCCACAUGUGAAAUCAAAGGCCUACCACCUGCGUUAUGAAACUAAUGUAAGGUAGUUAAACGAUUCUGAUUGAGCCUUUUUUGUUUCUAAAACUGAUAAG